ACCCUACGGGAGGCAGCAGUGAGGAAUAUUGGUCAAUGGGAGGAAUCCUGAACCAGCCAUGCCGCGUGCAGGACGACGGCUCUACGAGUUGUAAACUUCUUUUAAGAGGGAAGAGCAGAAGACGGUACCUCUUGAAUAAGCCACGGCUAACUACGUGCCAGCAGCCGCGGUAAUACGUAGGUGGCAAGCGUUGUCCGGAUUUACUGGGUGUAAAGGGCGUGCAGCCGGGAAGACAAGUCAGAUGUGAAAUCCCGCGGCUCAACCGCGGA
rnacentral:rRNA from 1 species